GCAGCCGUGGCCUACUGGUUAGCGCUUCGGACUUGUAACCAGAGGGUUGCUGGUUCGAACCCCGACUAGUAGGCUGAA
rnacentral:tRNA from 1 species